GUGCCGGGCAGGACCACGGGCCCCGCGCCACCAUGCCCCGGCAGCUCCCUCGGCACUCGCGGGACCCCAAGGCGGGCUGCUGCGGCUUCCCCAAACCCACCGCCACCCCACCCUGUCUGACCACAGCCCCCCCAAACCGCCUGCCGCCUGCCCCUUAGAGCACAACGCAGCCUGGCCCUACACCUAACCCCCAGACCACUCCCUCAAUCGUGAACCCAGUAAACCAGCCUGCACCCCACACAGCCCAAGGUCUUGCCCCGCGCCCAGGUCCCAGCACCUAGCGACCCGCCUUCAGCACUUGGAAUGGGCUGGAGUUGGGAAAUCAGAGAGGGCCAGUGCAGGUGCUGGGGCAGUAUCGAGAGCGGGGACCUUACUGCUAGGGUGGAGAGGAGUGGGGGAGAUUGGUCCCAACCCAUCACCGCUGGUGGAUGUCUCAGAGGAAGCCUGGGGUCCCUGGCCACUGGGUAGGAGGGUAGGAAGAAAAGAU
rnacentral:lncRNA from 1 species